ACAGAAUUGCCUCGAAGAUCGUACAAAUUGCACACCCGCGAUCGAAACCGCCCGAAAUCUAGAUAAAUCGAAGCUUCUCUGGUUCGCAAGGAAACACUCGCGACAGGUCCAGUGUUCGUAACACGAUGAAAACAUCCGAGAGGAGGGAAUAGCAAUGGCCCGUAAAAAGACCGCGGGAAGCUUCCCGUGCGAUACGACUGUCCCGCGUGACAUUUGACGGAUGGACGGACGGCCAGUUCCGCGAUCAAUAAUCGUUACCCAAUUUAUCGCGGCGGCGGUCAUGUACCAGAGGCAGGACAAAGCGAUUCCGCGAAGCCUACCUUGCGCCUCCUUGUACUGGACGAUGUAGUUGAUGAUCGGCGAGCCAGCAUGCGCCGGAUCCAGCUCGCUGGACGGCGAGGUCCAGGCCAGCAGCAACGAUCUGCUGCCUCGCUCUGCCACGUGCACGUUCCGUGGGAAAUUCGGCGGCUCCUGGACCAGCAGGUGGAUCGUCGCCCUGGCGUGGCCGUACGCGUUCGUCGCGAUGCAAACGUAAUCGCCGCGGUCCAUGUUGUUCACCUGGACGAUGUGCAGCUCGGAGAUCACUCUGCCGGAGACCGUUUGGUUGUCUAUCGUGUACCUGGUGGAGAGAAUGUUCGUACGCCAAUAUUUUAGAGCUCGCUGAAGGUAUCCCGGGCAGAAGCGAUCCACCACGAAAUCGGAACUCGCCAAGAAGAAAAAAGCACGCCGUCACCGUGGCAGCGAGCGAAUUCCGCUCUCGAGCGGUGCAAUAUAAUGUUCGCGAUCAACGAACCGAUGAAACUAAUUAUGCCGUCGCUUCAUCGAGGGGAACGGCUUAUUUCAGGUUGAAUGAGACCAGCGAAUACGUCUGAUCAGCGGAAUUUCCGAUGGCUCCGACCGCGGUCACCCCACACUGAACCAUCCCCCCGCCCCGUCCCCCUUCAUCACGGGGUUAAAUACGCCCGAUAGGUGUAACUUAAUGAAAACGACGAGCACCGCGAUCGACCCGGAAGUCGUCGCGAGUUAUUGGGCUCCUUCAGUGGAAUCCGGGGGUGAAGAACAAUGAACGAAAUGUAUCGAGGAUCAUGAAAAUUCAUGGCGCUACGAUCCGAAACGUCUCUCUCGGGUUAUUUGAUUUUCAUACAGAAAGAGUCAGAUUUCGUUUCGAUUUAGGAGCAAUGAAUAAUGGUACGGUAAAUUCUCCCUAAUUCUCGUCUCCUAAAUCUUCACUGAAUUCUCUAAGAACUUGAGAAAGAGGAGUUACGAUUAUUCGAGCCUCGUUUUUAUAGUUACCGAUUGUCAAUAAUUAUACAAACGAGCUGCAAGGCUCUUCUCUUCCCAAAUUGUCCAUUGUUGUGCGCAAUCUGCACAUUUUGCUGAAUCUGCUAUUUUUUGGAUCGUAUAGAAAAUCUUUGUCGUGAGUCUAACUCGUUAUAUGCUCAAGUUAUAUCGAAAAAGUGGUCGUAUAAAUACGAAAUAAAGAAUAAAAAUCUGUUUA